rnacentral:lncRNA from 1 species
AUGGGAGCCGAGUUCUGGGGCUGGAAAUCCAGUCAAAUGUCACCCGCGCUGGGCUGUCUCAGGAUGUUGAACCACGAUGGUCAUUUCCUGCCCAGCAAGCGGCCACCGAGCCCACCCGAGCUCCGUGCCCAGAGGCGCUUGAGCUGCCGAGCCCAGAGGAUCCCCGCGCUCCCGAGCAGCCCCUGCGCAGCCCUCGCUCGGCCGCCGGUGAGCCAGGACCGUCCCUCCUCCCUCCUGUCCCUUCUCCUGUCCGUCUGUCCCCUCUGCCAUCUCUCUGUCCCUUCUCCUGUCCGUCUGUCACCUUUACCAAGCGUCUGUCCCCUCUCCCAUCCGUCCGUCCCUUCUCCCGUUUAUCUGUCCCUGGUCCUGUCCGCCUGUCCCUUCUUCUGUCCUUUACCAUCCCUCUGCCAUCUCUCUGUCCCUUCUCCUGUCCAUCUGUCCCCUCUGCCGUGUCUCUGUCCCUUCUCCUGUCCAUCUGUCCCCUCUGCCGUCUGUCUGUCCCUUCUCCUGUCCAUCUGUCCCUUCUCCUGUCCAUCUGUCCCUUCUCCUGUCCAUCUGUCCCCUCUCCCAUCUCUCUGUCCCUUCUCCCAUCUCUCUGUCCCUUCUCCUGUCCAUCUGUCCCCUCUGCCGUCUGUCUGUCUCUUCUCCUGUCCAUCUGUCCCCUCUGCCGUCUGUCUGUCUCUUCUCCUGUCCAUCUGUCCCCUCUGCCGUCUGUCUGUCCCUUCUCCUGUCCAUCUGUCCCCUCUCCCGUCCGUCUGUCCGGUUUUCCAUCUGUCUCUGCCGGGUCCCCGCGGCUCUCAGGACCUGCAGCGCAGAGAGCUCGGGAUGUCCAGGAGCCCUGGGGUGGGAGGUCCAGCCUCUCCCUGGUUUCGGGGCCGGUGGGUGUCAGCCUGGGUGGGUGCCACAGGCGUGACGCUCUCACGGGGGACACCCGGCUGUGGUCCCGGCUUGCCAGGCUCCGAGAGAAGCGGGAGGACCCCUCUGGAAGCUCCGGCAGCAUUCCCAAGGGAACGGCUGCUCCUGAGCGCUUCCAGCGGCGCUGCUGGACGGGGUCCGCAGCGUCUUCGCUGUGCGGAUGCAGCUGCGCUGGGAUCGGAGCUCUCACUUAGGGCAAUAAGAGGACGUUCAGGUCAACUGCAUUUCCCUGAAAUUUAUAAUUUUCUCACCCUUGGACGUCCCGAUGGCUCCCGGCAGAGUGAGAGCGGCUGGGAAGUGACCACACCCCGGGGGUUCGGGUGGGAGCGGCGGCUUUCCCGCUGGAGCUGUCUCUGGGACAGAGUCACUGGCACCUGGCUGUGUCCCAGGCUCUGGGACAGGGAGCAGCCGCCACAUGUGGUGACCCUUGUUUGUGGCAUUUAUCUUGGGAUGUGA